CGCCCGAACGCUCGAGCACUUCUCUCCCUUAUCCUCUCACUCCACCACACUAGCCUUUCCCCAUUCUCCUUAUCCACUCCUCUCCUGGCUGCUCCCCGGGCCAGCAGCAGCCGUCGACGGGGAGCGCAGCUCGCCUUGUGUCGCGGCAGAGCAGGCGGCGAAACAGCCGGAGGAUGAUGAAGCUGGUGGAGGCGCGAUGUGACGUCAGCGGUGCGUGGUGGCUCGCCGAGGACGAUGAAGCGAGUGGAGGCGGCGACUCCCAGGCCAGCGCAGAUCAGCGGGGCUCCGACGCCGUGGGAGUUCGUUCCGACGGGGCGCCUGAGGAUAUGGCUCAGACGGAGGUGGUGCGGCGCGAGCACUCGGCGACUGGGGCACGGCGCGGAUGCAGAGCGUGGUUGCGCCUGGAGUGCGAGGAAGCUGGCGGGGGCAGCGGCGCUGAGGCCCGCUAGACUCCGGUGCAUAUGGCCCUUGGUCGCCGCCAUCCGCUGGUCUCUUCGUCCGGCGAAUCGACGCCGGAUUUGUAGGGUCCAACGGCGCGGGGUGGCUCUGGUGACCUUGCGCAAGGACGGCGCGCGUGGGGAAGACAACCACCAUGGCCAACCUAGUAGCGUCCCUGGGGCUCGGGAAUCACGAUGGGGUUCGAACUACGCGGCCCGUGACGAGGCGGCCGUCGGCGCCAGAGAUCGACUCCCCUGGUCAACGUCUCCUUCCUACGAGGGUAUGCAUAUACUGUUGCCUCUACUCUGCUAACGCCAUCCUUACAUGGAAACCUGCAUAAAUCAUGCUUAUUAAGACUAAAUUGUGAGUGUUGCUUUACUGGACAAGAAGAGAUUAUUCUUCAGAGAAUUAUGGCGUUUCUUUUGGUUUGUAACCAUCAUCAAUAACACAUGGGCAACUAUUCAGUAAUCUGUGUACCUUACCCUACUUCCUCCUUUUUGCACUUGCACUGAUAUGUGGAUUCCUCAAAUUUUGAAGCAGCCUGAACGUUACCAUCAGAUUCUAAUUCACUUUGCAUGUCUCAAAUUCUGUUGUAUUUUUUCCUAGCUGAUUUCCGAGUCAAGUUGUGAUAAAGUAGUUAGCUUAGCUAUGUACUGAAGUUUGUUUAGUUUGGUGUGUACCCGAGGUUCUGCUUAAAAUAGUUACCAUUGUAUUAGACAUAUAUUUGACAUCUUAUUUAGCAAGAUAUUCCUCGAGAAUAGACACAGUUUCCAUCUUGUCAACUACAACUCCUACGUACAUUUUUUGCCUCCAAAAUCGCCAUGUCUCACUAUACAUUUUUUCUUAAAUUUGCCCUCUCACUGUAAAACUUUCCUUAAAUUUUCUUGGAAGAUGGCAAAUAUACUUAUCGAAUCAUUGCAAAUUUUAGUUCUCGUAUCAUGAAAAUACAAUAUUUGCUUGCCAUGGCAACUUUUGAUUUUUGGAUCAUGGCGCAUUUUUACUGUUUUCUACCAUGACAGUUUUUUGGUAGACCAUGGAAACAAAUCUUAUACUUUUUGCCAUGUAAGCAUCAAACAUUUAGUUAAUUGAUCAUGGCAAAUUUAGUUAACACAUCAUAACAAACUUGCUUCCUGGAAGAUGGCAAAUAUAGUUAUCGUAUCAUGGCAAAUUUAGUUCUCGGAUCAUGGCAAAUUAAUUGCUUUCUUGCCAUGGCAACUUUUGAUUUUUUUGAAAUUGUCGUUGUAAUUCUUUAAAUUGUCAAAAACAACACAAAAUAGCAAAUAUUGCCAUGGCAAGUUUUGCUAAAUAUUUUACCUUUAUUAACAUGGCUAGUUUACCUAAAUCCCCAUGGCAAUUUUUUUAACUUUUAUUGCCAUGGCAAGUUACUAUUUAUUUGCCAUGGCAAAUUUACCUUUUAUUAGCAUGGCAAAUUUAUCUAAAUCCCCAUGGCAAUAUCUAAGUUUUAUUGCCAUGGCAAGUUUUUACUAUUUAUUUGACUUUUAUUAACAUGGCAAAUUUACCUAAAUCCCCAUGGAAAUAUCAAACUAUUAUUGCCAUUGCAAGUUUUACUAUUUAUUUGCCAUGGAUAAUAUACCUUCAUUAACAUGGCAAAUUUACCUAAAUCCCCAUGGCAAUAUUUAACUUUUAUUGCCCUGGCAAAUUUUACUUUUUAUUUGCUAUGGUUAAUUUACCUUUAUUAACAUGGAAAAUUUACCUAAAUUCCCAUGGCAAAUUUUAACUUUUAUUGCCAUGGCAAGAUUUACUAUUCAUUUGAUCUUUGUUAACAUGGCAGCUUUUACUUUUAUUUUUGCGUGCCAAUUAUUAAUUUUUCUACACCAUGGCAAAAUUAACCUUUUUAUUGCCAUGGCAAAUUUACCUUUUAUUUCCCAUAAAAAAUUUAUUUAAUUUACAUGGCAAUUUUAAUUUUUGUCACUCAUGGCAAACAUACUUCUAUGCAGCAUGGUAAGUUUUACUUUUAUUUUGCCAUGGCAAAAAUACUUAGAAAACACGGCAAUUAUUACUAAACAAUAGAUGAUGCAUUAUUUGUUUUGUGCUUCGGCAAAUUUAGAUAGUAAAAAUAGCACACAAAUUUUUAAUCCAUAUUUUUCUUGAAAUUAUGGUACAGAUGCAAACUGCCAUGAUUUUUUUCCUUUUUGUGCCAUUGCAUAUUUUUUUCUUGCCAUCAUGGUAUAGAUGCAAAAUUUGUUUAUAAAGAUGAUGGCAAUUUUUGGGUUGAAACCAUUGGGAUUCUUUUAGUAGUAUCUUGUUUUCCAUUUUUCUAUCUAUCAUGACAUUUUUUUUUUGACUUUUUCAGUGAUGGCAAAUUCAUAUGCAUCCACACUGCACAUUUGCCAUGUUUUUUAUGGGUAAACAACAAAAAUUGCCAUGGCAAAUUCAUACAUUUUGACAUCUUUGCAAAUAAGAUCUUUCUGGUUCAUUCAUAUUAUAGCGGAAGAGUUCUCAUUGUUCAUUCAUAUUAUUUUAUUUUUGCAGCAUUUUGUGACUUUUUUUCAUUGCAUGGAAAAAUCUAGCCUUUAUUUAGUCACAUCCAAUAGUGUGUUUUUUUUGUCACAGUAAAAAUUGGCACAAUCUGGGCUUUUUUUCCCCCAUCAAAAAGGCCUCUAGGCCCCCGAGGUAGGGUGUUCGGGCUGGGUGAUUCUCGUCCCGAACGCAUGCGUUAGGUCGAUGCCUUCCACGGGACCGAACGAAUCGUUCGAUCUGGGGCUCUCCCAGACCGAACGUUCGGCAGUUAUCGAGGUCCUUUGAAAAAUAUAUUAGGAUGUACCAGUUUUGACAUUUUUGGAAAAAGAAAACCCGAUGCCUUUCCGAAACCCAACCCUAAAUGCCGUGCUAUUUUUCAACCUAAAAUCUAAAAAAUGGCCGGCCGCCAACUAACCAAAACGAGCGGCCGGCUCCUAGCCGCACGAUUUCGCUCGAAACCGCUGUGCGUGUGCGCCAGGCGGCACCUGGUCGGGGCGCUCCCAUGUACGGUGCGGACACGACUGGCGUUUAGUGGGAGGCGAAAACCACUCGCGUCCGCACUCGUCGCUAUCCGCUCGCGUCCCCAUCCCCAUCCCCCUCGCAUUUGUCGCCGCCCCCGCCCCAACUUGCGCCGGCCGCCGCCGCCGCCGCCGACCCACCUCGCAUCGACCGAUGCGGCCCACGGCGGCCGCGGCAGCUCGGCUGCCACGCCUCCACGCCUCCACGCCGCCGUCUCCCCGUCCGCCACCUCGCCUUCUCCUCUGAAUCGAGCCAUCGGUCCUCUGCCACGGCGCUCCCCCUCGCCUCGUUAAUUACUCACGGAAGGUGUCUUCCCUAUCCACGAUGCUUCAGCAAGCACUCACUCUAUGGUACGUGUCUUGCUUCUAUGGAAUUUAGUGAGAAAAAAUUGAGCCCAUCCAUGGAGCUAUGGAAUCUGAAGUGGGAGAUGCGGUCCUGAGUUCUAUUCUCCAUCUGAGUUCGAGGAACUGAAGAAAUUUCAAGGAGAAUGAAGCCUAUGCGUGUGGGUGGUCGCUGCUGUGUUCUCAUUCAUGGAGUUGUGCGUGUGCACUACUGCUUCCAGCCCCAUCCUCUGUGGAGGCUUGCUGCCGCCAGUGAAAAUGGUUGUAGAAGGGAGAUAAUUGUGGCCGUGGAGGAGAGAUUUGGUGUGGCCAGGUGUUGCGCGGGAGAACCACCACAUCGGAGUCGAGCAACCGCCAUCUUCAAUCCCCAUCUCCGGAUAUUGUGCAGGGGGAUGAGGGUAAUGAAGGAGAUAAUACAGAACGAUAGUCACAAGCUGGUAGGAUAAGGGCAUCACCUGGGAGGUUGGUGACGUUGAACAAUAAGUUGAGCCCAUUACAAAAGUCUCACCUCUGCCAGAAGCUGUUUUGGAAGUGGAACAAUAAGUUGUGCAUUGGAGUGAUGUACAGGUUCUUUUGGCCAAAGAGUCUGAUCUAGAUUUGCUGCACAUGAUUCAAGCUACAAUUAUUGUACACUACUAUUUGGGAAGUAGAAAUAAGAUUCUGAUGUCAGGAAAUAGAUUUUCAUCUUUUUUAUGUUUUACUUUUAGUAUAUAGAACACCAUUCCCGCUACUGCUAUUUGUGUGAGACAAGACUAUUGUACUCUCGUUUAUACUAUUGUUUCUUUGUGCUUCUUC